UACGUAGGGGCCGAGCGUUGUCCGGAGUUAUUGGGCGUAAAGCGCGCGCAGGCGGCUUCGCGCGCCCGACGUGAAAGCCCCCGGCUUAACCGGGGAGAGUCGUUGGGGACGGCGGAGCUUGAGGGCGGGAGAGGUCGGUGGAAUUCCCGGUGUAGCAGUGAAAUGCGUAGAGAUCGGGAGGAACAUCAGUUGCGAAGGCGGCUCUCUGGACCAGCACUGACACUGAGGCACGAAAGCGUGGGGAGCAAACAGG
rnacentral:rRNA from 1 species